GGUGAUCUGUGAGCUGCUCUGACAGCUGGUGCUUAAAGCUAGUGAGGGAGCAUUUACUGUUGGAGAAACCGGUGUGGCGAGUGGAAACCACCAUUUAAGGCCUACACAGAUGGAUAAGGAUGGUGAAAUAAUGCAACCAGUACCCCAGUGAUGGAGAGGGAUCUCCUUAGAAGAGGCACCUUCAGUGGUCCACAUGAGACAGACUGAAGAAACUGAUCCACGAAUGAGGGGGUGGGAUAUCAGAUAACCAGAUACUGGUUUCACCUUUCGCUAAGAAAAACAGGAGGAGGGGGAAAGAUGCUGGAGCAUCAUGGGAUGUCUGAGGGCGUUUGUAGGGGCCUUAUUGGUAGUGGUGGGUCUGGCCGCUCUCUUUCUCUCGCUGCAGAAAGCACAUUUUGUAGUGAACUUUAAUAUUUAAAAACACAAAACAAUAUACCCUUUUCUGGAAAGGAUCACAUUUUAGAAGUUUAGAAUUCAGAACACAGACAGAUGUAGCAGCUAGCCUGGAGAAUGAACAAGACUAUGAAAACAUGGUUUCCACUAGAUAGCACAGUCACAAUGUCAAAAUUGGCUUUCAUUAAAAAAAAUUAUGAAAACCUAAA